CUAACUCUGAGAUGUUCGCCAGCGGGUCAGAUUCCCCUGAGCCGAUAUUUAAAUCUUAGGAUUGAGUUCUGCAUAUUUAGAGUGUAUGCCCAUCCGGUAUGGGAAACCCAGCAAGUAUGCGUCUCGUCCACCUUGAACUUUAGGGUUCAAGGGUAAUGACAUGCAGCGGCAUCUUCGGAGUGCUU
rnacentral:other from 3 species